ACCCCCGGGACUCCCCCCGGGGCCCCCGGGUACACCUGCCGCUGCCCCCCCGGGCUUCCGGGGCUCCAACUGCGAGCGCCGGGCAGACCGGUUGUGACCCCCAGUACUGCCUGAACGGCGGGCACUGCCGGGACUCCCAGGGCCUGACCCCUCUGUGCCGCUGCCCCCCGGGCUUUUCGGGGCGCCGCUGCCAACACAACACGGACGACUGCACCCCAAAUCCCUGCGCGCACGGGGGGCACCUGCCAGGACGGCCCCAACUCCUUCACCUGCUCCUGCACCUGGGCUUCGGGGGCCCCGCUGCCGCCGCCGCGCCGGAGCCUGCGCCCCGAACCCCUGUGCCCACGGGGGCACCUGCUUCACGCACUUCUCGGGGCCCGUCUGUGCCUGCGCCCCCGGCUUUAUGGGGGUGCGCUGCGAGGAGGAGGUGGGGGGCACCGCCCCCGACCCCGAAAGGCCGCGGGCCGGCCCCCCUGGCGCUGUGCGCGCCUCCCGCUGCUGCUUUUGGGGCCGGGAGUGGGGCUGGCGGUGGCCAGGAGGAGGAGGGGGAGCAGCAGCAGGACCCCCAGCGGACACUGGGGGGACCCCCCGGCUGAGCCCCCCCGGGCCAGAGCGGCAGCCCCAAAGAGCCUCGGCCACGCGGGUG